CCUACGGGGGGCAGCAGUGGGGAAUAUUGGACAAUGGGGGGAACCCUGAUCCAGCCAUGCCGCGUGUGUGAAGAAGGCCCUCGGGUUGUAAAGCACUUUCAGUGAGGAAGAACGCCUGGUGGUUAAUACCCAUCAGGAAAGACAUCACUCACAGAAGAAGCACCGGCUAACUCCGUGCCAGCAGCCGCGGUAAUACGGAGGGUGCGAGCGUUAAUCGGAAUUACUGGGCGUAAAGCGCGCGUAGGUGGCUUGAUAAGCCGGUUGUGAAAGCCCCGGGCUCAACCUGGGAACGGCAUCCGGAACUGUCGAGCUAGAGUGCAGGAGAGGAAGGUAGAAUUCCCGGUGUAGCGGUGAAAUGCGUAGAGAUCGGGAGGAAUACCAGUGGCGAAGGCGGCCUUCUGGACUGACACUGACACUGAGGUGCGAAAGCGUGGGUAGCAAACAGGAUUAGAUACCCCAGUAGUC
rnacentral:rRNA from 1 species